rnacentral:ncRNA from 1 species
GCUCCGGAGAGUCCGUGUUCUAAGGCACCGAAGGUGUAAACCGAUGAAAAAUCAAGUCGGCGUAUCUCUCAGGUAAAAAGAACGGAUG